rnacentral:rRNA from 1 species
AGUGAACGCUGGCGGCAGGCCUAACACAUGCAAGUCGAGCGGAGCGGCGGACGGGUGAGUAAUGCCUAGGAAUCUGCCUGGUAGUGGGGGAUAACGUCCGGAUACGGGCGCUAAUACAGCAUACUAUCAGAUGAGCCUAGGGCGGAUUGGCUAGUUGGUGGGGUAAAGGCCUACCAAGGCGACGAACCGUAACUGGGCUGAGAGGAUGAUCAGUAAAACUGGAACGGAGGCACGGUCCAGACUCCUACGGGAGGCAGCGGUGGGUAAUAUUGGACAAUUGGCGAAAGGCUGAUCCAGCCAUGCCGCGUGUGUGAAGGAGGUCUUCGGAUUGUAAAGCACUUUAAGUUGGGAGGCGUUACCAACAGAAUAAGCACCGGCUAACUUCGUGCCAGCAGCCGCGGUAAUAC